rnacentral:rRNA from 1 species
UACGUAGGGGCCAAGCGUUGUCCGGAUUUAUUGGGCGUAAAGAGCUCGUAGGCGGUUCGGCAAGUCAGCUGUGAAAUCUCCACGCUCAACGUGGAGGGGUCAGCUGAUACUGCUGUGACUCGAGUCCGGUAGGGGAGUGUGGAAUUCCCGGUGUAGCGGUGAAAUGCGCAGAUAUCAGGAGGAACACCGGUGGCGAAGGCGGGUCUCUGGGCCGAUACUGGCGCUGAGGAGCGAAAGCGUGGGGAGCGAACAGG